AGUGAACGCUGGCGGUAGGCCUAACACAUGCAAGUCGAACGGCAGCACAGUAAGAGCUUGCUCUUACGGGUGGCGAGUGGCGGACGGGUGAGGAAUACAUCGGAAUCUACUUUUUCGUGGGGGAUAACGUAGGGAAACUUACGCUAAUACCGCAUACGACCUACGGGUGAAAGCAGGGGAUCUUCGGACCUUGCGCGAUUGAAUGAGCCGAUGUCGGAUUAGCUAGUUGGCGGGGUAAAGGCCCACCAAGGCGACGAUCCGUAGCUGGUCUGAGAGGAUGAACAGCCACACUGGAACUGAGACACGGUCCAGACUCCUACGGGAGGCAGCAGUUGGGAAUAUUGGACAAUGGGCGCAAGCCUGAUCCAGCCAUACCGCGUGGGUGAAGAAGGCCUUCGGGUUGUAAAGCCCUUUUGUUGGGAAAGAAAAGCAGCAGGUUAAUACCCCGCUGUUCUGACGGUACCCAAAGAAUAAGCACCGGCUAACUUCGUG
rnacentral:rRNA from 1 species